UGUGUGUGUGUGUGUGUAUGAAGGGUUUAGUUCAUUGGUGAUCUAAACGAAUAGGUACGCUGAGUAAGUGCUAUAAUUGGUCAUCCGUUAAGUUCCAAGUUCACAGCUGAGAUUGGAGCUAGGGAUCCGUAUUAGGCUUCCGAGUUAGCAGGUGUAUAUUAUGUUAGAAGGAAAAGGACAGCAAAACCCAA